rnacentral:rRNA from 1 species
UACGAACUGUGCGAACGUUAUUCGGAAUCACUGGGCUUAAAGGGUGCGUAGGCGGUUACUUAAGUAGGAUGUGAAAUCUCCCGGCUCAACCGGGGAACUGCGUUCUAAACUGGGUAACUUGAGUGAGAUAGAGGUGUGCGGAACUUCCGGUGGAGCGGUGAAAUGUGUUGAUAUCGGAGGGAACACCGUUGGCGAAAGCGGCACACUGGGUCUUAACUGACGCUGAGGCACGAAAGCCAGGGGAGCAAACGGG